CUCCCAAACACAAAUCCUGCAUGGAGGGUCUGAACAAAGAAACACAGACAGAUCAGACCAAGUCUUCCAACACGUUUGUUAAACAUCUGUGGGCACUGAAACUGAUUCACCCUUUCUGCUGGAGAAGACCUGGAGCUUGUUAAAUCCUCUGCUGUUUCACCUGAGCAUCUUCAGAAGACUGUUAAUAAAGGACUUUUAUAGCGAAUCUGUGUGAGAUGCUACACUCAGCACGGACUUUCCUUGAUGGAUCUAUGACCUCUGAGGGAAUUUAAAACCCGCUGCAGUCAGUGAUGGGAAGUUUCAUCGCUUCAGUUUGAGAACGUCACAACAGCAAAGCUUUCACCUGAGAACAGACUGGACUUCUGCACCAGAAUGUGACAUAUGGGACGAGGUUUGCACUGCAUCACCUGUGGCAUCCAAUGGGGGAAUGAAGACGGCACUUCAAACAUUAAGGCCACAAAACAACACAGCACACAGAGUGAGAGAGAGAGAGAGAGAGAGAGAGAGAGAGCAGGCUGCUGCUGCUUCUUCUUCUUCUUUCCAGAUCCACAAACAAAGAUAAAGUCCUUUCAUGCCAAAGAUCUCUAUUCCUGCCUCUCUCUUUUGCUCAGAGGGGUGUGUAAAAAGACGCUUUGCAUAAUCCGUCCGCAUCAGUAUGCAGUGAGCUUUAGAGAGACGGAGUAAACAGGAUUCCCCCUGGCUGUUGCUUUCACCUGCUGGAGGUGGACGGCACAAACCAAGGCCACAUUCCCAGAGCUAAAGGCUUUUCAUGCCAAGCACCAGGUUUUUCAGCUGAAAAAAAACUUACACAGCAAUGAAUUAAAUAUGACUUGAUGAAUACCAUAUGACUGUUUGUGCAAAGCCUGCAAAAAUAUUUAUGAGGGGAAAAAAUUGCGAUCAUCACACUUUUUUCUGUGAAUUUUUUUGAAUUUUGAAUCAGUCGGACACGCAUGGGGCGACUCCGGAUUCCUGUUUUGCAUGGAUUUAAAAUGCUCAACACUCCCAUGGCUUGCAUUUGCUAUUUGUUAUUUGUACUUCGCUGUUGUUAAUUCAUGUAGGCGUUCAUGAAACUGCUUUCCAACUGUCUGAUCCUCAUGUUGGCCAAACGUCUCAAACCUCGUCUCAUCUGUUCUUCCUAACAUGCCGGCUUUCAUUUUUUUAUUUGGCUGUAACUGUAAAGUUCACUGAUUUUUACUUCUUUCCCUCCACUUUGGUUUUCCAUUUAUUUACACCUUAGCAAGCUCUUUCCUUUGCUCCACCUGACCACCUCUCAUAUAUUCCAAUCUCUAACAACAGGCCAUCAACAGCACCCAGAAGGCUUCUACAUGCAAUAUUGAAGAUUUCCAUUAGUGCUGAAUUGUUGGGGGGAAACCUUCAAGAGUGUUUGCGCAUCAGGAAACAGACGUGAACCAUCAUCAUCACAGAAAGGGGAAGAUAGGGGGGAGACCACGAGGGGGACGAUGAAAGAAACAAAGAGAAAAUAGAUCAAACUCGAAUAAAGCAGACAUGAGUAUUACAGUA
ensembl:lncRNA